UACAGAGGUCCCAAGCGUUGUUCGGAUUCAUUGGGCGUAAAGGGUGCGUAGGCGGCCCGGUAAGUCCGCUGUAAAAGUCCAGGGCUCAACCCUGGAAAGCCGGUGGAUACUGUCGGGCUAGAGUCCGGAAGAGGCGAGUGGAAUUCCUGGUGUAGCGGUGGAAUGCGCAGAUAUCAGGAGGAACACCGAUGGCGAAGGCAGCUCGCUGGGACGGUACUGACGCUGAGGCGCGAAAGCGUGGGGAGCGAACAGG
rnacentral:rRNA from 1 species